rnacentral:rRNA from 1 species
AGUAACACGUGGAUAACCUACAUAUAAGACUGGGAUAACUUCGGGAAACCGGAGCUAAUACCGGAUAAUAUUUUGAACCGCAUGGUUCAAAAGUGAAAGACGGUCUUGCUGUCACUUAUAGAUGGAUCCGCGCUGCAUUAGCUAGUUGGUAAGGUAACGGCUUACCAAGGCAACGAUGCAUAGCCGACCUGAGAGGGUGAUCGGCCACACUGGAACUGAGACACGGUCCAG